UACGGAGUGUGCAAGCGUUACUCGGAAUCACUGGGCAUAAAGGGCGCGUAGGCGGCCACCGCAAGUCGACUGUGAAAUCUCCGGGCUUAACCCGGAAAGGUCAGCCGAUACUGCGGGGCUAGAGUGCAGAAGGGGCAACUGGAAUUCUCGGUGUAGCGGUGAAAUGCGUAGAUAUCGAGAGGAACACCUGCGGCGAAGGCGGGUUGCUGGGCUGACACGUGACGCUGAUGCGCGAAAGCUAGGGGAGCGAACGGG
rnacentral:rRNA from 1 species